GUGACAUACUUCAACAUCAAUCUUUCCAGGUCAUGUGAUACAGUCCUAUGUUACAAAGUUCAACAUUAAUCUUUCCAGUUCCUGUUAUACAGUCCGAUAUUACAUGGUUCAAUGAUGUUUCUGAUGUUUAAUGGUUCAGCAUCAAUCUUUCUUGAUUGUGUGAUACAGUCCUAUGUUACAAAGUUCAACAUAAAACUUUACAGAUCGCGUGAUACAGUCUGAUGUUACAUGGUUCAACAUAAAUCUUUGCAGGUCGUGUGAUACAGUCCGAUGUUACAUGGUUCAACAUCAAUCUUUCCAGUUCCUGUGAUACAGUCUGAUGUAACAUGGUUCAACAUAAAUAUUUGCAGAUCCUGUAAUACACUGCGAUGACACAAGCUGUGAUUUUCGGAUGGUUUCCUUUAAUGACUUCCAGUGGCAUACAGAUACAGACUACUUAUUUCUGAGAAACAACGCACCAGACUUUGACAGACUCAACCCGAAUCUAAAGUCUUAACAGGGGAGCCGAUCCUACUGCUGCCAGUGUUGUCACAUGAACAUGGAUUCUCUCACAGAAAUUAGGGAUCUCCCAGUGAAGUGGGUUUGUGGUAACCACUGACCGGACACAGAUCAUAGUGUGUGAUGUGUUACUGAGGGAUUGAGAUAGUGUGAUCUGCCAUUCAUUGCCUUCAAUAUACAUCCGGUGAUUGGGAACAGUGAUACAGUCUAUAUACAUUCUAAUACUUCCUGACAUAUCAAAUAAUUGAGCAGAUGGCAGGUAAAAAUUGUAUCAAUGGGAUUAAAUUACAGCAUGUUAAUUGUUAUGAGUAAAAGUUUAGGAUAAACUUUGAUAAUUUAUGAUAUGACUACGAUGUGCAAUUAUGUGUAAACAAUAACGUUUUAAUUGCACCUAUAAUAUAGAGAUCACAUGCAGGAUUAUUGGAUCAGGUUGUUAUAAUGAAACAGACAUAAAUCACAGUGAUUUUUUAAAACCAAUUGGGACCAUAAAUCACAAGAAAAGCUAAAAAAAACUUAUGAACAAAUCAAAAUUCACAAUUCACAAUUUCUGCUUAUAACUGUUUGUUUGAAUGCUAUUUCAACGGAAAUUGAACCCAGGCCCAUUCACCAAGGACUGGAUAAUGACACUUGAUCCUGUCUUGAUAAUGGGCUUACUCCGUUUGCAUCUAUUGCAUAUGUAUCCGUCAAUUUCUUUGUACAAGACUUGUUAAUGCAUUUAUUGCAAAUCCGUCAAUUGGUUUACACAAGACAUGAAACACAGACAUAAUCUCUGUUGUUUUUGAUGAAUAUUUUUGCUUAUGUUUCUGUACUGUCAAUAUGUAUAAGUACCAAUUUAAUGUGCACAUAUGGUAGUUCUUGGAAUUGUUCUGGACACAAAUCUCACCUCCAAUUUAAAUUGACAUUUGUGAAAAGAAUUAAGUGCCAUCUUUUUCGUUUUAUGAUUUUUUUGUUUACUUCUUUUAAAAGAGCUAUUUUACAUUGAUAAAUUUAAUUUUGCAGUUCUCUGAUUUUAA